GCUUGUGGCGGCCAAGCGUUCAUAGCCACGUCGCUUUUUGAUCCUUCGAUGUCGGCUCUUCCUAUCAUUGUGAAGCAGAAUUCACCAAGCGUUGGAUUGUUCACCCACCAAUAGGGAACGUGAGCUGAGUUUAGACCGUCGUGAGACAGGUUAGUUUUACCCUUAUGUUAAAAUGUGAAAUCG
rnacentral:lncRNA from 1 species